UGUCAUGACUGACUGAUGUGCAACUAACGUAAGAUUCAAGACUCAUUACUAGAUGUCGCCAGUGUCGCCCAUGUUGACAUUCUGACAUCGUGAAUUUUACAUUCUGACAUCGUGAAAUUUCAAUGAAUCCUGUGAUUUCAAAUGCCAAAUUGAACUUCGUAUCAUAUAUGGAUACUGUCAGUCAUUCCAACAAGUUGACUUAGCGCUCAGUCACUUUCCAUCCAUUAGAUCCUCAUGCUGUCAAAAGCCUAAAACUCAUGUUUGAAGCACACAUAUACUGGAAUACAAAUGUUCUGAGAUUAGGAUCUUUUCUGAAUCUCGCAAUUUUGGUGGUGUACCCUGCAACAGC